UACGGAGGAUCCAAGCGUUAUCCGGAAUUACUGGGCGUAAAGAGCUCGUAGGUGGUUUGUCGCGUUGUUCGUGAAAACUCACAGCUUAACUGUGGGCGUGCGGGCGAUACGGGCAGACUGGAGUACUGCAGGGGAGACUGGAAUUCCUGGUGUAGCGGUGGAAUGCGCAGAUAUCAGGAGGAACACCGGUGGCGCAGGCGGGUCUCUGGGCCGAUACUGACGCUGAGGAGCGAAAGCGUGGGGAGCGAACAGG
rnacentral:rRNA from 1 species